rnacentral:rRNA from 1 species
AGGAUCAUUACUGAGAUGGGGUCCUUCGGGGCCCGACCUCCAACCCAAUGUCUACCGUCCUUGUUGCUUCGGCGGCGCCGCUCUCGGUAUGACCCAGAGAUGGGACAUUUCGAGACCGUCGGCUCCUUUUACCGGGGGCUUUCGAGUGCCCGCCGGGGGAUUAAGACACAAACUCUUUACGAACCCGAUUCUUAAAUAUUUGAUUUUUAAUAAACUUCAAAACUUUCAACAACGGUAUCUCUUGGUUCUGGCAUCGAUGAAGAACGCAGCGAAAUGCGAUAAGUAAUGUGAAUUGCAAAAUUCAAUGAAUCAUCGAAUCUUUGAACGCACAUUGCGCCCUCUGGUAUUCCGGAGGGCAUGCCUGUUCGAGCGUCAUUUCAACCAUCAAGCCCUGCUUGGUAGUGGGCGUCCUCGCCCCCGCACACGGGGGCGCGCCUUGAAUGACUCGGCGACGGCAUCGAGCCCCAAGCGUAUCGGAACAACUCGCUUCUGGCGGCCUCAAGCGCUGUUUAGCCUCUAGAAAACUCUACAACUUAAAGGUUGACC